rnacentral:tRNA from 1 species
GGUCCUGGUGGCUUCCCCGGGCUUCAACCCUGCGC